CAAAUGCCCCAGGCUAGUUUCCAAGGUUGUGGCCUCUGAGUCAUCAUAAACAGAGCCUCCCAGGGUCUGGCCUCUUGCACACAGACUUGUGCUGUGAGAGUCAUCCUUGCUGUGUGUGCGCGAAGCUGUUCAUUUCCUUGCUGUAUAGUGGAGCAGAGGCGAUCUCAGCUUUCCGGUGUCUACUCAAGAGAAUUCAAACAGGCGCUCAGACAGAUACCUGCGCACCCGCGUUCACAGCAGCAUUACCCACAACAGCCAGAGGCUGGACACUACCAAGGGUCUGUUAUGGUUGAAGAGAUAAACACAGUGUGUAUACAGUGGGGUGUUAUUCAGCCACGGAAAGGAAAGAAGCUCUGAGUCACACCGCAACAUGCCCUGGAAACUGUGAUCCAAUCAUAAAAUAUGAUAACAUAUUGUGAUUCCAUUUAUGUGAAAUGUCUGCAAUAGGCAAAUCCAUAAACACAUAAAGUUCAUGAGUGAUCGCCAGGGGCUUGGGGCAGGGGUCAGGAGGGGAAGGGGGAGUGGCUGCUAACGGGGACGGGGUGUUUUGGGGUGAUGUUUUGGGGUGAUGGGAAUGCUCUGGUGCCAGAUGGACGGUGCUGCUGGUUGCAACAACUCUGUGAACGUACCAAAUGCCACUGUACCGUUCAGGUUAAAAUAGGCAGGGCAUGGUGGCGCGUGCCUGUAGUCCCAGCUACUCGGGAGGCCAAGGCAGGAGGAUCACUCGAGCCCAGGAGGUCGGGAGCUGCAGUGAGCUGUGAUCACACUGCACUCCAGCCUGGGCAACAGAGUGAGAUGUCAUCUCUAAAAUUAAAAAAUAAAACCAAAUAAGUAAAAUAAAAUGGUUAAAAUGA